CCAAUAGCGUAUAUUAAAGUUGUUGCAGUUAAAAAGCUCGUAGUUGAAUUUCGGGGUUAGUAGGUCGGUCGUGCCACUGGUAUGUACUGGUUCUACUGAUCCCUCCUUCUUGUAGAACCGUAAUGCCAUUAAUUUGGUGUUGCGGGGAAACAGGACUGUUACUUUGAAAAAAUUAGAGUGUUUAAAGCAGGCUAACGCUUGAAUACAUUAGCAUGGAAUAAUGAAAUAGGACGCUCGAUCCUAUUUUGUUGGUUUCUAGGAUUGACGUAAUGAUUAAUAGGGAUAGUUGGGGGCAUUAGUAUUCAAUUGUCAGAGGUGAAAUUCUUGGAUUUAUUGAAGACUAACUACUGCGAAAGCAUUUGCCAAGGAUGUUUUCAUUAAUCAAGAACGAAAGUUAGGGGAUCGAAGACGAUCAGAUACCGUCGUAGUCUUAACCAUAAACUAUGCCGACUAGGGAUCGGAUGAUGUUAAUUUUUUAAUGACUCAUUCGGCGCCUUACG
rnacentral:rRNA from 1 species